AUCUAAAUGUGAUGAAAACAUAGUUCAGCAGAUUGCCUCUGACGACACUCAAUGCAUUUGGUUUUUCGCUCCUAUCUGAGUGCAACA